rnacentral:rRNA from 1 species
GAUGAACGCUGGCGGCGUGCCUAAUACAUGCAAGUCGAGCGAACGGACGAGAAGCUUGCUUCUCUGAUGUUAGCGGCGGACGGGUGAGUAACACGUGGAUAACCUACCUAUAAGACUGGGAUAACUUCGGGAAACCGGAGCUAAUACCGGAUGAUAUUUUGAACCGCAUGGUUCAAAAGUGAAAGACGGUCUUGCUGUCACUUAUAGAUGGAUCCGCGCUGCAUUAGCUAGUUGGUAAGGUAAUGGCUUACCAAGGCAACGAUGCAUAGCAGACCUGAGAGGGUGAUCGGCCACACUGGAACUGAGACACGGUCCAGACUCCUACGGGAGGCAGCAGUAGGGAAUCUUCCGCAAUGGGCGAAAGCCUGACGGAGCAACGCCGCGUGAGUGAUGAAGGUCUUCGGAUCGUAAAACUCUGUUAUUAGGGAAGAACAUAUGUGUAAGUAACUGUGCACAUCUUGACGGUACCUAAUCAGAAAGCCACGGCUAACUACGUG